UCGGGUGCUCCUGUUUUCUGGUCGAUCGAACUGUCGCAAGUCCAAUCGUCCCAGGUCACAGGGGCAUUCGUGUGUUACGACCCGGCUUGGUCACCCAAUACAUCGGCGGAUCGAG
rnacentral:sRNA from 1 species